rnacentral:rRNA from 1 species
CCUACGGGGUGCAGCAGUGGGGAAUAUUGGACAAUGGGCGAAAGCCUGAUCCAGCCAUGCCGCGUGUGUGAAGAAGGCCUUCGGGUUGUAAAGCACUUUCAGUGGGGAAGAAAGCCUUGGGGCUAAUACCCUCGAGGAAGGACAUCACCCACAGAAGAAGCACCGGCUAACUCCGUGCCAGCAGCCGCGGUAAUACGGAGGGUGCGAGCGUUAAUCGGAAUUACUGGGCGUAAAGCGCGCGUAGGCGGUCUGAUAAGCCGGUUGUGAAAGCCCCGGGCUCAACCUGGGAACGGCAUCCGGAACUGUCAGGCUAGAGUGCAGGAGAGGAAGGUAGAAUUCGCGGUGUAGCGGUGAAAUGCGUAGAGAUCGGGAGGAAUACCAGUGGCGAAGGCGGCCUUCUGGACUGACACUGACGCUGAGGUGCGAAAGCGUGGGUAGCAAACAGGAUUAGAUACCCGGGUAGUC